rnacentral:rRNA from 1 species
CCUACGGGGGGCAGCAGUGGGGAAUCUUAGACAAUGGGCGAAAGCCUGAUCUAGCGAUGCCGCGUGAGUGAUGAAGGUCUUAGGAUCGUAAAGCUCUUUCGCCAGAGAUGAUAAUGACAGUAUCUGGUAAAGAAACCCCGGCUAACUCCGUGCCAGCAGCCGCGGUAAUACGGAGGGGGUUAGCGUUGUUCGGAAUUACUGGGCGUAAAGCGCACGUAGGCGGAUUAUUAAGUGAGGGGUGAAAUCCCGGGGCUCAACCCCGGAACUGCCUCUCAUACUGGUAGUCUAGAGUUCGAGAGAGGUGAGUGGAAUUCUGAGUGUAGAGGUGAAAUUCGUAGAUAUUCGGAGGAACACCAGUGGCGAAGGCGGCUCACUGGCUCGAUACUGACGCUGAGGUGCGAAAGCGUGGGGAGCAAACAGGAUUAGAUACCCUUGUAGUC